rnacentral:rRNA from 1 species
CCACAUCCACGAAAGUGGAUUGGCACGUUAGAAGUCUGCGCGCCGACCCGCAAGGGAGCAGCGGCCCAAGGUAUGAUUCAUGAUUGGGGUG